rnacentral:rRNA from 1 species
GAGGUUAAGCGACUAAGCGUACACGGUGGAUGCCCUGGCAGUCAGAGGCGAUGAAGGGCGUGCUAAUCUGCGAUAAGCGCCGGUAAGGUGAUAUGAACCGUUAUAACCGGCGAUACCCGAAUGGGGAAACCCAGUGUGACUCGUCACACUAUCAUUAACUGAAUCCAUAGGUUAAUGAGGCGAACCGGGGGAACUGAAACAUCUAAGUACCCCGAGGAAAAGAAAUCAACCGAGAUUCCCCCAGUAGCGGCGAGCGAACGGGGAGGAGCCCAGAGCCUGAAUCAGCAUGUGUGUUAGUGGAAGCGUCUGGAAAGGCGCGCGAUACAGGGUGACAGCCCCGUACACAAAAGCGCAUGUGCUGUGAGCUCGAUGAGUAGGGCGGGACACGUGGUAUCCUGUCUGAAUAUGGGGGGACCAUCCUCCAAGGCUAAAUACUCCUGACUGACCGAUAGUGAACCAGUACCGUGAGGGAAAGGCGAAAAGAACCCCGGCGAGGGGAGUGAAAAAGAACCUGAAACCGUGUACGUACAAGCAGUGGGAGCACCCUUUGGGGUGUGACUGCGUACC